rnacentral:rRNA from 1 species
UACGUAGGGUGCAAGCGUUUGUCCGGAAUUAUUGGGCGUAAAGAGCUCGUAGGCGGUUUGUCGCGUCUGCCGUGAAAGUCCGGGGCUCAACUCCGGAUCUGCGGUGGGUACGGGCAGACUAGAGUGAUGUAGGGGAGACUGGAAUUCCUGGUGUAGCGGUGAAAUGCGCAGAUAUCAGGAGGACACCGAUGGCGAAGGCAGGUCUCUGGGCAUUAACUGACGCUGAGGAGCGAAAAGCAUGGGGGAGC